GGCCCCAUUUCAGGUGGGGGGCGACUGCAGGCAGCGCUGCUACUGCAAACACCGCGACCCCCCCCGGCUGCCCCACAACGUCAGAGCGUGGUUGGCUCGGAUGAACGCGGUGCCCCCCGAAAUCCUCCGGGGGGGGAGAAAGGACGGAGGUGCUGCCCCAUAAGUUGGAGUGGCUGCCCCAUAAGUCGGCGUGGACACCCCCAAAGUUGGAGCUGCCGCCCCAUAAGUUGGCGCUGCCCCAUAAGUUGGCGUUGCCUCUACCCCCAGACCCCCAUUAAAAGUUGGGUCACA